rnacentral:pre_miRNA from 1 species
CAACUACUCCCUCUAUCCCAAAUUUCUUGUCUUAGAUUUGUCUAGAUACGGAUGUAUCUAAUACUAAAAUGUGACAUGAUACAUCCGUAUCUAGACAAAUCUAAGACAAGAAUUUUGGGACGGAGGGAGUACUUU